rnacentral:rRNA from 1 species
UACGUAGGGUGCAAGCGUUGUCCGGAAUUAUUGGGCGUAAAGAGCUCGUAGGCGGCUCGUUGCGUCGGCUGUGAAAACCCGCGGCUCAACCGCGGGCCUGCAGCCGAUACGGGCAGGCUGGAGUUCGGUAGGGGAGACUGGAAUUCCCGGUGUAGCGGUGAAAUGCGCAGAUAUCAGGAGGAACACCGAUGGCGAAGGCAGGUCUCUGGGCCGAUACUGACGCUGAGGAGCGAAAGCGUGGGGAGCGAACAGG